ensembl:lncRNA
CCACCAUGGCGGGUGGGUUAAAGACCCGAGCUAACAUGGGGUUAACUCGUUAAAUUACAAUAAAGCCUCGUGCAGUUUGCAGCAAGCUCUCGAAUCCGCCUGGUGAUUGGGGUGACCGUGAACGUGGCCUGGGACCCCGGAAACUUGAGUUUUCGGGGGUCUAACAGUAAGACCUGGGUAUUGAACUUUUACCCACUGAGCUGUGUCCACAGCCCUGGUUUGUUUUUUUGUUUGUUUUUUGUUUUUUGUUGUUGUUUGGUUGGUUUUGGUUUUGUUUGUUUCUAAUAGACAGAAGUAAACAAGGUAGACAUAGGUGAAGAGGGUAGGAGAGACAGGGUGCUUUGUCCCUAGCCACCCCAGUGUUACCAAGGACCAGGAGCUCCAGGGCUAAAAAGGCCAGAUGUGGUGGCAUGGACUUGUAAUUCCAACACUCUAAAAAGCAGAGGCAGGAGGCUUGCUGCAACUUCAUGACUAGCCUGAUCUACCCAGAGAGUUCCAGACCAGCCAAGGCUACUUAGUACAGGAAGGAUGCCUCCCAUGUGACAGCUGUGCCUCAAGGGAAGGUCCAUGUACUUGAUACACCUCCAGUUUCUUUACUUUCAAAUACUUCUUAAACAGAGGGUCUCACUAAGUUGCCCAGGCUGACCUUGAACUCCCUCUGUAGCCAGGAUGUGGACCUCCUGGCUCAGUUUCCCCAAAAUCAAGAAUGACAGACCUGGUCUGUCAGUAGCUCUCAGCUACUGCUCCAGCCCCAUGCCUCCCUGUACGUGGCCAUGCUCCCCGCCAUGACAAUAAUGGACUAACUCUCUGAAACUGUAAGUCAGCCCUCAGUUAAAUGCUUCCUUUUAGAUGAGCUGCCCUGGUCAUGGUGUCUCCUCACAGCAAUAGAACAGUGACUAAGACAGUCACCAAAACUCUUCAUAAUUAUUGGGACCAAUGAAGAAAUUUGGCUUCUUCUGUGAUAGACUUCAAGCUGAGUAGCAGUCAAGUUUCCAUCAUGUUCCCCAGGAAAGGUCAAGAGAAAAGGCUUAGGCCGCCUGAUGUUCCCAAAUCAUGCCACUAUCUGUGUGGGUUGAUACCCCACAACACUUUCCAGUGUGGUGAUUAUAUAUAUAUAUAUAUAUAUAUAUAUAUAUAUAUAUAUAUAUAUUCAUAUACCAUAACCAAAAAUAACUUGAGGAGGAAGGGGUUUAUUUCAUCUUACAGAUGACAGUCUGUGCUGUGAUACUCGAGAUGAGGGGACCUUGGAGGAUCCCAUGAUGGAAUGAACACACCAGACAGAAAGAGAGUGGGGAAGAGACAAAGAGAGACAGAGAGACUGGGAGACGUGCCUCCUCAGAGAGAGAAAGUAGGCAGAGCUUGCCUCUUAAAGAGACCUUUUGCACCUUCGUACAGAGACGGGGUGACUCUGCCAGGUCCCCAGGGGCAGAGCCAGGUUUGCCUGGAUGAUAGCAGUCCAUCCCUGUCAGGCUUCUCUAAAGGAAGAACCGAUGGGAUGAAUUACAUUAAACGGUAUUUGUUAGACCCAUAUGCAGGAUGUAGUCCAGGUGGUCCAACAAUGUCUGCUUCACACUAAAGAGGCCCAAUAUCCUGUAGUUGUUCAGUUCACAAGGCUAGAUGUCUCAGCAGUGUCGGUCUGGCACUUAAGGCCUGGAGCAGUGGUUCUCAACCUUCCUAAUGCUGCAAACCUUUAAUCAAUACAGUUCCUCAUGUUGUGGUGACCCCUAACCAUAAAAUUAUUUUUGUGGCUGCUUCAUGACUGUAAUUUUGCUGUUAUCAAUCAUAACAUAAAUAUCUGUGUUUUCCGAUGGUCUUAGGCAACCCCUGUGAAACAGUUCUCAACCCCUCAGGUUGAGAACCACUGGUCUGGAGGUUUCCUGGAGAGCUGCUGGUCUUCAGUUCAUGUUGGAAUCCAGAAGUUAGUUUUAAUACGGGUGAAGGGAAUGCCUCAGGAGAGAGCAGGAUAGAUGAACUUGCCAGAGAGAGCAUGGGCAAGCAGGCAGAAAACAAAACUUCCAUCCUCCAUGGCCUUUAAUCCCAGCUACACCAGAAGCUGUAGGCUGGAUUCAAGGGUGGGUCUUCCUGCUUCAGAUAAUGGGAAGCUGCCCAGCGGUUAGCCAGGAAACAUGAAGAAAUGCUGCUAACUUCUUGUUCCCAACCUUUCUUAUACAGUCCAGGUCUACCUUGGGUGGGGUGGGGGGGGCAUAUGUGACCUCCCACCAUGGGCUGGGCCUUCCCAUAUCAAUUAGCAAUUAUGACAGUCUCUAUCUCCAGCUGUUACAUCCAGAGGCUAAUCUGUUCCAGUCAGUACCCACCCACCCCCAACUGAGUGAGAUGCCCUCAGAUAACUGCUGGGCUGUGUCAAGUUGACAGCUGACCAUUAAUCAGGAGAGAUGGCAAAAGCUGAGGCCACCCUGGCUUUGUUCACUGUAGCAUCCUGAGUGUGGGAAUAGGGAAGAUUUCCUGAGUGGACAAGAGGUAAACUCCAACACCAAAUGGUGUGAUUUGUACAAUGCUGUACCUUAGCUGUUGGCUGUCCCUGGAGACCCACAUAUUUUUUUCUUUUUAAAAAUUUCCUUUUUUCCAUUUUCAUGUGUGCUUAUGUAUGUACAUGUUUUUACAUGUGUGUGGCCAUUCGUGUGAAGGUCUAAGGCUGAUGUCCAGAAUCAUCUUCCACCAUACUCUUCUUCAAUGAGGCAAGGUCUCUUAGUCAACCCCAGAGCUCACCAACAUGGUUAGUCUAACUUGACAGUUUGCUCUGAGGAAUCCCCUGUCUCUCCCUUCUGAGGCUGGAAUUAUGAGCAACUGCCAUGCCCACCCACGACCUGAGGCCACUCACCAUCCACAGCCACCCAUGAUCUACAGUCACCCACGAUCUGUGGGUUCUGGAGAUCCCAACUCUGGUCCUCAACACCUGCCAGGCAAGGGCUUUAACACUGAGCCAUCUCUCCAGUCCUAGUCUGCUUUUUGAUACAGAGUCCCAAGGGGUGCCAAACUCACUAUGUCACUGAGGAUGACCUUGAACUCUUGGUCCUCCUGCCUCCACAUCCUGGGGAUUACGGGUGCCUGGUUUAUGGGGUGCUUGGUUUCAUGCAUGCCAGGCAAUCACUGCCAACUGAGUCACCUCACUGUCCCAAGACCCACUAGUUAAAGAAGCACCCUUAAUUCCCAGAGUGAGGCUAUUGGGAAAGGAUGAAGAUGACAGAAGAGGAACCCGUGUGUGUGUGGGGGGGGGGGGUUGUUAUUGGAGCAAGCUCUCAGAAGGGAUGGAGGCACUCCAUGUCUUUCUCUUUUGCUUUAUAGCCAUGGCAUGCCUUUCUGCCAUGCAUUUCUCACCAUGGGCCUUUGGUACCUCACCAGAGACUCAAAGCAAACUGGACUGGAGUCUCCAAAACUCAGCCAAAGAAAUCUUGACUCGAUGUUGGAUCCUGGGAAUUUAGAUUAGUGCUGAAAAUCCUGGGAAUCGCGGAGGAUUUGAGCGGGGAUGAGUUGAUCAGUAGUUUGAAAAACUGCAUGGCUGCAGAUAAACUAGGCUAUGGCUCAAGAACCAAAUAAAUACUCAAGGACCUAGAGUAGAAGGAAGUUCAUCCUCUGCCUGGCUAGCCUUCUGUGACUUCUUGCAAAAGCUUGUAGCACUCCCUGGUGUCUAUUACUGGAAUUGCACUGGGAUUUCAUGGAGGAACCAGGUGGUGAGAGGUUUGGAUUAUGCAGAAGGUUCCAGUUUAGAGGACAAGCUUGGGGUAGACUGGAAUCAGAUGUGAGAAGUUGAGAACUCAAAGGGCAAGCCAAAUGUAGAUAGGCUCAUCAUGGGCUCAUGGUAUCGUCUGAGCUGGAGACAAAUAUUAGGAGUCAUUUCAAUGGAAAGUGUGCUAGCUAGUUUUAUGUCAAUUUGACACAGUUAGAACCAUCUGAGAGGAGGGAGCCACAGCUGAGAAAAUGCCUCCAUAAGAUCAGACUGCAGACAUGCCCAUAGGGCAUUUUCUUUUUUAAAUUCCUAACAUUUUUAUUAUUUGGGAACUUCACACCAUGAAUCCCAAACACACUUAACUUCCCAGUCCUCCCAGGUCUGCCCCCCUCCCUUGUAACCUAUCCCUCUACCAAAAAGGAGGAGGAGGAGAAGGAAGAGGAGGAGGAGGAGGAGGAGGA